GCGGGCAUCGUAUAAUGGCUAUUACCUUAGCCUUCCAAGCUAAUGAUGCGGGUUCGAUUCCCGCUGCCCGCUCCAAGC
rnacentral:tRNA from 1 species